CCUACGGGGGGCUGCAGUGGGGAAUAUUGGACAAUGGGGGCAACCCUGAUCCAGCCAUGCCGCGUGUGUGAAGAAGGCCCUCGGGUUGUAAAGCACUUUCAGUGAGGAAGAACGCCUGGUGGUUAAUACCCAUCAGGAAAGACAUCACUCACAGAAGAAGCACCGGCUAACUCCGUGCCAGCAGCCGCGGUAAUACGGAGGGUGCGAGCGUUAAUAGGAAUUACUGGGCGUAAAGCGCGCGUAGGUGGCUUGAUAAGCCGGUUGUGAAAGCCCCGGGCUCAACCUGGGAACGGCAUCCGGAACUGUCAAGCUAGAGUGCAGGAGAGGAAGGUAGAAUUCCCGGUGUAGCGGUGAAAUGCGUAGAGAUCGGGAGGAAUACCAGUGGCGAAGGCGGCCUUCUGGACUGACACUGACACUGAGGUGCGAAAGCGUGGGUAGCAAACAGGAUUAGAUACCCUGGUAGUC
rnacentral:rRNA from 1 species